AAAUAAGGUACUGAACAAGAUUGC
rnacentral:miRNA from 1 species